GAUAAAAAGUCCACUGUAAUCUCAGAACUCAGGAUCAUUAGAUAUUGAGAGUCACAAAAAGUCUUUAUUGUGGAAGAGUCUUGUUACUUUUCUGCUUUUAUUUAUUUUUAAGAGAGAGAGAGAGAGAGAACACAGGCAGGGGAAGAGCAGAGAGAGAGAGAGGGAGACAGAAUUCGAAGCAGCCUCCAGGCUUUGAGCUGUCAGCACAGAGUCCGAUGUGGGGCUCAAACCCACGAACCGGGAGAUCAUGACCUAAGCCAAAGUCAGACACUCAACCAACUAAGCCACCCAGGCACCCAGAAGAGUCUUGCUACUUAAACAACGGUCAGUUUCUCUAUGGGGUUUGCCUAAGUGAAAAAUCUUUUUUUUUCCCUUCCAUGUGAGCAGUAUUUGUUAGACCAGUAGUCCCCAAUCCUGAAAACUCUCUCAAAGUUCCAGAGUUGUACCAUGUUAGAAAAUCAAGCAAUAUUAGGAAUUACAGUGUCUAAUUUCUUCAUCUCAUGGGAGAGAAAACUGCAGCCUAGAGAUUCUAACUUUUGAAUAGAUUUUUAUACAGCCUUCAGAAAAGUCAGGAGCGGACUUCUCUCCCAGAGGUUUCUCCAAGAUAACAGUUGUCUCUUUCGCUCAAUCAUUUCAUACAGGCAGAAAACGUAAGAACUACUGAGGAUUCCGUAGAAACACCUAGACAAGAAUCAGAUCUGAGCUAAAGAGGAAGUAGAGAAGGAGAGGGAAGACAGGGAAAAUAAAAAAAAUAGGACAGAGUAUGAAAAAGAAUCCAUUCAUGAUAAUAAAAACUUCAUAGAAAAACUGAGACUCUUAAGAGAGACGAUAUCAAAGAAUAUGGAUCACAAGGCAUAUGUGAAACACUCCUGAAACACUCCAAAGGAACCAUUAUUAUUCUGUAAACCCACCGGAUGAGCAAGAAAAAUAUAAAGGAUCAAGCCUGGCUGGUUUUUUCCCCUCCUUAGGAUCUUUGGGGAGAACAUGCAUCAGGGAGGGCGUGAGCCUGGCUGGUAUUGGUUAUCUCUGCUUCUCGGGUAAAAUCUCUCCAGUCCAGUUCAGCACCCAGAAAGGGAAGACCAGCUUGUGUUCCUCCCCUCUGUGAAACCAAAGGAAUAAAACUAUUCCGGGAGACUCUUGGGUUCUUGCAGAGCCAUGGAUCCAUUCGGCUGAAGUCAGAAUGGAAGCUCCUAACUAUUCAUGCCAAGAAUAAUCCCAGGAAACUGACCCUCAAAAAUGGGAUUGAAGAAAUGGUUUGGUCCUGCCUUGGGCUCGAAAGCAGUGUUGAGCUCCUCUACCAGGGGGACGCGGUAUGAUACUAAUUGGUGGCUUGCAGUGGCAUCCUGAUGAAUCAGAUUAUCCCCUGAAGAUGACUGUGAUGUUUGUGGCUCCUUCAGUUGACCAUCAUGGCCGUAACAACUCCUAUAUGGAUUGUGAUGUGGGACGGAUUCCCCUGAAUACCUUGGGAGCCUUUACAGAAAGAAAACGAGCAGCUCAGGUCUUGAAACUCUCAGCUCAAGUCAUGGUCGGAGCACUUCUAUCGUAGCCCUGAAAGUAUCACCUGUUUCUAAUUGUCACAGGGCUUAUACUGCUGGAAAUCAAACACAAAUUUAAUUGUGUAGACUGCAAAAUUAGAAUACCACAUGAAUUCACAGCCUUACCAAGCUGUCACGUGAAAGCCGGGGCAUUGACUGCAAAGGAGUGGACCUCGGAAACACGGAAUGGGCCAUCUGGUUGUCGCCAAACAGAGCUGAGAAUAUGAAUCCCUGAGUUACUGUGAGCCUCCCUGGUGAGUGGAAAGCAACUCUUCCUCCGAGUCUGAAGAGAUGAGCCUUCCUUGACAGGAACACUGCCCCAACCUCCCCUGAAGUAGUUGUCUCACAAGUGGACAGUCAUUCUCCUGAAGAUGCAUUCUCAUCUGUUGUUGUCUCAAGACACGUAACGAAGCUCAGAUCUCAACAUGUUCCAGGAGGUACAAGUAGAAAGCGUGACUCAGGAAGAAGCAGCCUAUAUACAUCAAGAGACUUGCAAGGUUUUGAAAAUAUAUACUGCCAGAAACUUGGAGAAUAUGUGUGGGGGGAAAUCCUAAGGGUGUUAAACCAAAGAGGAUGGAAUAUAACACUGAGCUGAGCCGAAUUUAA